rnacentral:rRNA from 1 species
UCUGGUUGAUCCUGCCAGAGGUCACUGCUAUCGGGGUUCGAUUAAGCCAUGCGAGUCGAGAGGGUUCGGCCCUCGGCGUACUGCUCAGUAACACGUGGAUAACCUGCCCUAGGGGAGGGGAUAACCCCGGGAAACUGGGGAUAAUACCCUAUAGGUUACAGAUGCUGGAAUGCCCUGUAACCAAAAGCUCCGGCGCCCUAGAAUGGAUCUGCGGCCGAUUAGGUUGUUGUUGGGGUAACGGCCCAACAAGCCCGUAAUCGGUACGGGUUGUGGGAGCAAGAGCCCGGAGUUGGAUUCUGAGACACGAAUCCAGGCCCUACGGGGCGCAGCAGGCGCGAAACCUUUACAAUGCGGGCAACCGUGAUAAGGGAACCUCGAGUGCCUGUAAACGCAGGCUGUUCAGGUGUUUAAAACGCACCUGGAGAAAGGGCCGGGCAAGACCGGUGCCAGCCGCCGCGGUAAUACCGGCGGCUCGAGUGGUGGCCACUUUUAUUGGGCUUAAAGCGUUCGUAGCUGGGUUGUUAAGUCUCUUGGGAAAUCUGGCAGCUUAACUGUCAGGCGUCUAAGAGAUACUGGCAAUCUAGGAACCGGGAGAGGUGAGGGGUACUUCGGGGGUAGGAGUGAAAUCCUGUAAUCCUCGAGGGACCACCUGUGGCGAAGGCGCCUCACCAGAACGGCUUCGACAGUGAGGGACGAAAGCUGGGGGAGCAAACCGGAUUAGAUACCCGGGUAGUCCCAGCCGUAAACGAUGCGCGUUAGGUGUGUCGAUGACCACGAGUCAUCGAGGUGCCGAAGGGAAACCGUGAAACGCGCCGCCUGGGAAGUACGGUCGCAAGGCUGAAACUUAAAGGAAUUGGCGGGGGAGCACCACAACAGGUGGAGCCUGCGGUUUAAUUGGACUCAACGCCGGGAAGCUCACCGGAUAGGACAGCAGAAUGAUUGCCGGGCUGAAGACUCUGCAUGACUAGCUGAGAGGAGGUGCAUGGCCGUCGUCAGUUCGUACUGUGAAGCAUCCUGUUAAGUCAG